GACAGACAAUCCGCAGCCUCUGUCUCUGGGCAGUCACCAGACAACGCCCCUGAGAACUCUCCUCUCCAAACACAGGGACAAUGAGACUUUGGUUGUAUCUCGUUCUCAUUGCAGCAGUGUUUGAAGGUGCCCAGUCCCAGGUGCAGCUGGUGGAGUCCGGAGGGGAUGUGAAAAAGCCCGGAGACUCUCUCCGCCUCUCCUGCAAAGCCUCCGGGUUCACCUUCACCAGCUACUACAUGGGCUGGGUCCGUCAGGCUCCCGGGAAAGGACUGGAGUGGAUCGCCUACAUUUACAGCACCAGCAUAUACUACAGUGACUCGGUAAAAGGGCGAUUCACGGUCUCCAGAGAUGACCCCAACAGCCUGUUGUACCUGCAGAUGACCGGCCUGAAACCCGAAGACACCGCCCGGUAUUACUGUGCAAGACACACAGUGAGGGGAAUCCAGAUACUGCUAAUACAAAAACCCGAGUGGCAGAACUGCCCUUCUUCCAUGCGCCGCGCGGGGGCAGCACUUCCACAAACAAUCCAGCCCUGGGCACAGGAACGGGAUCUACAACGAGAGCAAAAAACAAAUCAGUCCUCAGAUUUCAGAUCACUAUAUCCAUACAUGAUCAUAAGUCCUUGA